AGUUCUGUAAAUGAAACAAUUAUUUUGGCAGUUUGGGAAAGAUAUAUUCAUAACUUUCAUGGUAUUUAAAGGGGAAAUACACCUUCCCUGAGUCCCUUUUUCCCUUGCCAGAUAUGAAGAAUGAAAUCAGAGUGCAGAGGGAAUAGAUGGCAUAAAUAGAAAAAUUGACAGCCAGUGCGCUGCAUUCACAAUUGGAUUUCUAGGACUGACAGCGAGACAGGAAGUAAAAGGGUUUCUCCAAAUCUGGGCACAGGGUAGUUGUAGAGAACACCAUGCCUGGGGCAUUAUGUUCGUUCACUCAAUCGUCAGUUGUCUAACAAGCACCUCCUAAGUGAUCAUGCUAAAGUCUUAGAUUAAAAUGACCAGUGCUUGCCCAUGGUAACUGUGCAGUCUGUAGUACCCUAUAGUAGGAUUCUCUGGUUGCAGGUAACAGAAAACAACUUGCAAAAACCUUGAGUGAGAAAAGUGAAUAUUAUUGUAAUGCUGAAGGGUUGUCUUGUGAAACCCAAGUCAGGGAAAUCACAGAAAUGUCAUUAGGACCUAGACCAAGGAAUGACAACCUGCAGGACUCAGGCAGCCCCAUCUGUGCCUCUCAUCUUAUAUACUUGCUCAGUUUUUCUGUGUCUCCUGGUCUUCCAUUUUUUUCUCAGUCCACAGAGCAGAAAAUGGCUCUCCUACAGCUUCUGAGUUUUCAGAUCUCUCCACAUUCAUGGGAUCCUCCCAGAAGAAAGAGUAUCUCUUUAUCCCAAGGCUAAAUGUCUGGGAGGAAAGCUGAUUUGUCAGGUGUUUACUCCAGGUCCAAUCAGCUAUGGCCAGGGGUGGAGUUAAAUACAACCUGUCACUCACGGUGUGGUUGCUCUAUCAGCAGUGCCCUAUAUCCUUACUGGUUGGUUGCAGCACCACUUUAGGACCUGCUGACUUUCCAUGUUUGCAAGAUCCCCAAAUUAUUAGUAUGUACAUUGAGCUUUGAGGAGCUUUGCUGUCGAAACUUCAUGGCUGUCAGCAGUCACUCUGUAGGAGGUGGUCAUGUAGGAGGGUUGCUGUGAGCUGAGCAGAGAGCCCACAAUAUUUCUACAAUAGCAUAAAAAUGCUCAGCUCCAGAGGUUACUUCCUGAAACAUUAGCUCUUAAGAAUAUCUGUAGAGGAGAGUGACUUAGACAUUUAUCCUGAUAUAAAUGAAAUGUUCCAUGUCUAUGUGAUAUUUCUCAAUAGGUGCUUGAGUCUCUCUCCCCUCCUAGGGGGCUGUGGCAGCCUUCUCGUAGGGUUUUUCUGAUGCAGUCUGGACAGUUCUUGCACCCCAGGCUGGCCGUGGUGUUGGUUGGUAAAUGUGUCCUGACAAGAAAUUACAAAUGAGGGAAUUACGUGGCACAUUUGGUUGCUCUGGAACUAUGAUUGAUCAUGAUCUUGUAGGAAAUGACCUUGAACCUGGAUUCCUGGCCUGGAAUUUCCUCAAGAUGUGGCAGGGCAGGGAAGAAGGGCAGGGAAGAAGGACUCUUAGAGUGAUCAUGUAAAAAAGACCAUUCCUGUCUCUGUGACAGUCUCCUUUCCCUGGGUCCUGUGCACUCCAGCAUGGCCACUCUGUCACGGAUCCUUGAGUGAGAGGCCUGUGGCCAGCUUUUUAGUCUUAGCUUCUCACAACAUGCCCGAGCUGUGUUUGGACCAUAGACUUCAUCUUGUAUUUUUUUUUUUUUUUUGUCCUGUCUCUAGGGCACACAGUAAGUGUUCACUUCAUGCUUGAGAACACUCAGAGCAUCAUGUCCUGCAUGAAAACAGACACUGACAAGGGUCACUUUGCCAUGACUUUGCAAAACCUUCUAACCACAGCCAGAGCUCACCCAACCACUUUCACCAGGGGUCUAAGACAAGCUUUGGGUGCUGAGCACCCUGAGCCCAGGAUGUUGCAGGAGAAGCAAGGCAGUAGGUCCAACCUCACUCUCUGUUUACAUCCUUCCUUUGUGUCCACCCCAGAAUUGUUUGCACACUUAAAACAAAAUACAUUAGAACAAUAGCACAGGUAUGUAUGUAAGUGUAUGCACAUGGGGAUUGUAUUCAGAAUUUCUUUUCUCAAAAGGGUGUUUGGCAAAUGAAUUCUGGAGACACAUAGAGCUAUGAUUGAAAAAAAAUUUAAAGGCAGCAUAGAACUUUAUUUACUUAAACUCAUAUAUUGUUUGCCACAUGCCAGGCACUGCUCUGAGUGCACUACAAAUAUUAAUGUAUUUGGGCUUCAUAACCAGUCCAUGAAGGGAGGUACUGUUUAUAGCUCCUUUGCAGAAAGUGAAGCCUAAAGAGGUUUGGUCGCCCAGCUAGAAAGUGGAAGCUGGAAGACAGACCUAGGCUGGCUCCAGGAUUCAGACUCUUCAUCACUAAUUAGGCUGCUCCUUCAAACAAAUUCUGACACAGAGCCAAGUGCAUAAAACAGAGAUAAACAAGAGUGAAGGGCGAGGAGCUGUUUGCCCAUCCCCUCAACCUUUUUCUUCCUCCUCUUGUUAAUCCUUUUCCGCCUUUCCUUGAAGUGUUGAGGUAUUCCAGAGAACCCAGUUUGGGAACCAUCAACCUAACCCAACCCAUUCAUUUCAUAGGUCGGGACUCACUUCUCCAGAGGCGAAGUGGUGCCACGUUUUACCCUUGGUUCCCUAGCUUCCAAAUGGCUGAACUGGGAGAAUCUCUCUUCUAGUUCAGGCAUCUUUCUGUUUCACAAGAUCGGAUGUGUAGGGGCUGAAUUAAGUCAACCUUUCUCCAGAGUCUGUAUCUUCAGGAAACCACCCUCCUCUACUUUCUUAAAAAGCACAGUUAGAAUAGAUGGCUAUCCUUUCCUGGGUUCUGGUUCUUCCCUUCUUCAUCCUUGUUGAGUUUUCCAUGAUUUACCUUCCAGGUAAUCAUUUUUUGCUCAGUGAAUUGAUUUCACAAAGUUUCAGACUGGAGCUCAUUUCAGGCAGCUCCAUUUUCACAGAGGCAGAGUGGGCUGUGAUGGGGUAUACUCACGAUGUACAACAUUCGCUCAGACUGAACUGGCCUUUCGCAGCUGCUCCUGCUGACAUGACUGGGCUGGGAACACCACAGUGCAUCCCUGAUUCUGGUUGCUCACGUGGAAGCACAGGGGACAGCCCAGAAUCUGUGGGACUUGCCUGCACACACUGCGACAGCCCACUUAAAAAAAUUAUUUGUGAUGUACGCUUGGCUAUCAAUGGAGAUUGAGAGUAUUGAUCUCGACUGAUUGCCGAGGACCAAAAUAAAGUGAGAGGGUAAUUGACUGCCGUGUCCCCCAUCGAUCGCGUGCCACAGUUCAUCACCACUGAAAUUAUUUUCAAGUACUUUGGUUUAUCAUUCCUAAUAAAUAUAGAAAUUGAGUAAUCAAAAUGACUUACAUUCACAUCGAACCAAAAGCUUUUAAGGAAGUGUCUAUGUUUAAGUGAGUCCAUAUUCUACACUGGUUUUCCAGUCAAGCCCCCAGGGUCCAUCCUGACAGUGCUGGGAUAAAGCCAGGAUUAAGAAGAAAAUAAAGCAUUGUCUCUCAGAAGCAGGAAUCCCAGCCACUGGCACUUUUCCACUGAUGUCAUGGUAAUAGUGGCCCCUGGGAUUUUAAGGAAAAGCCCUACUACUUAGUCACACUGUCCAUCUCUUCUGUCAAACAAAUGUUUUCCCCAAGGUAGCAAGACUUAUUUAUUUCACUCCCCAGCACUGUUCAUAGAAGCACACCAUGUUUAUGGUGAUGUUAGCAGUCGUGAUUAAAUCACAGUAAUCAUUAGCUGCGUUUGUAUAGGUUAUAUGGUGUUUGGCCCUACAAUAUCUUAGAAUCAUUCUGUUUUAUUGCUAUUGCUUUUGUUUUAAAGGAAGAUCCGCAUCCUGAUAAGUAUGUGAGAUGCUUGUGUUUGCUUUGGGAACCAAGGCUCUGUAGCACAGCACCGUCCAAUAGAAACACAGCCGUAGGCAUUACUGAAAAAUACAGUGAGAUGCAAAAUCUCGCAAUAAAAACUGUAGGACCUAUGGAGUAAGUGGGGUGAGGGACAUAACACUAAAAACUUUGU
rnacentral:lncRNA from 1 species